rnacentral:tRNA from 1 species
CAAUUUAUAAGUUAAGUUAUAUUAUAAAUUUAAUAUUUAAAUAUAAUUAUAUAUUAAAUAUAUUAAAUUAA